AUUGAACGCUGGCGGCAGGCCUAACACAUGCAAGUCGAAUGGUAACAGGAAACAGCUUGCUGUUUCGCUGACGAGUGGCGGACGGGUGAGUAAUGUCUGGGAAACUGCCUGAUGGAGGGGGAUAACUACCGGAAACGGUAGCUAAUACCGCAUAACGUCGCAAGACCAAAGAGGGGGACCUUCGGGCCUCUUGCCAUCAGAUGUGCCCAGAUGGGAUUAGCUAGUAGGUGGGGUAACGGCUCACCUAGGCGACGAUCCCUAGCUGGUCUGAGAGGAUGACCAGCCACACUGGAACUGAGACACGGUCCAGACUCCUACGGGAGGCAGCAGUGGGGAAUAUUGCACAAUGGGCGCAAGCCUGAUGCAGCCAUGCCGCGUGUAUGAAGAAGGCCUUCGGGUUGUAAAGUACUUUCAGCGGGGAGGAAGGGAGUAAAGUUAAUACCUUUGCUCAUUGACGUUACCCGCAGAAGAAGCACCGGCUAACUCCGUG
rnacentral:rRNA from 1 species